CCCUUCAAUAGAACCCCAGCCUAAGAUGGGUGGAGGUUUGCUUAAGCACCGUACCUGUUACAACUUUUUGCGUAAGAUUGUGCUCUUGCUUAUGGAGAGCUUUAGGGGUUUGUAAGGAGGUUUAUCUGGAAUAUGGCUUGGUCAGUUAUUUGGAAAAUGUUUUUUUGUCAGUGUUCUGAUAACUGAAACUAGGGUUUGAGUAUAUCAGUGCUUCAUCUGCAAUUUUGUGGGAUUUCAGGGCUUUUAUUUUGCUCAAUGUUUGUCUGUGUUUUUUGAAAAAUAGAUAAUUUAAUAAUACUUUUCCUUGAUUUCUUUUAGUUUGCAGGAUUUUUCUAGAUAAGCUGAGCAAUUUCAAAAAAAAUAACAUCGAGAAAAAUGUGCAGUACUACCUGUCAUGUGCCUGCAGCGUGUAGGCUUGCACGGAGGGUAUGCAGACACCUGUUUCAUAAGGCAUUUUCUGAAAAAAUAUCUGGGAACUUUAGUGCCAAUUUUUCCCUUUCGUGUUCUUACUCUGGUGGAAUGUGCAUGAUUUGUGUGUACUGUUUGUAUGUGCGAAGGAUUCAGAUACAACGAGCCUUUCGAAUUUUGAUUAGCAUGCCAAUUUUCCCUGUCCGUGUUCUUACUCUGGUGGAAUGUGCAUGAUUUUUGUGUACUGUUUGCAUGUGCGGAAGACUGAGAUACAAUGGUCUUUUUGGAUUUUGAUUGUGAACAGAAAGGAUUUGUGUGAUAAUUGAGUGUCUUGGGGUAUGCUCGUUGGGUGGAUAUGCAUUGGUUUUGUGUUUUGAACCUUAAAAUGGAGAGGGCAUAGGAUUUGGGUGUGAAGAGCUAGGGUUUUUUUGCUGAUGGAGGAUUUGGGAUUGGGGGAUGAAGAGACGAGAUGCAAAUGGGUUGUUCUGCAUUAUGUUUGAGACGCACAUUUUGAGGAGCAAUGAAAGGAUGAUAAUAACCAAUUUAUUGCAGGUUCUUGCUAGAUCAUCUUCAUUAGACAAGGACACUCCGAGGAAACACUUGAAUGCUCAGUAAAGUUGUAACUGUUACUGGUGAGGGCACACAUGAUCCACCAGCUUCGCAUGAAUCAGAAAAAGGACUUGCCAUGGGCAUUGCUGGCGACCAGGAAGCCUGGCUAACUUGAUUUUCAUUAUUAUUUCAACAACGUGUCAAGGAAAAGGUAGCCCCUUUGGCUUUGGAGACUCCAGUGUUUGCAGAGUCUAUGGAGCAGCAUAUGCAUCAUUGUCUGUGGUAGUAUGAUUCUAACAAGAAUAUGAUUUCUUGAGUUUUCUGCUAGGUACUAACAAUAAGUAUUUGUGCCUUGUAGGAAAGGAAAAUGAUUGCGCACACUUUUUGUAUUUUUAUUGCACUUUACAUUUAUUAUUCUAUAUAUUUCUUAUGCUAAUGCAAGGAGAACCAAAUAUGUUACGGAUUUGCAUUUUCUGUUGAUUUAUUGCUCAAAAUUACAAGGAAAAUGAGUUGUAAUCUGAAUUUUAAAUCCUUACAUAAAAAAUCUAUAUCUUUUCUGAUGCCUUGUAAUUUUCCCCUGUUUGGAUUUCCAGCCUGGCAGUAUCUCUAUAUGUAUGACUUAGGUCUACAAUCUUGUCUAUUCAGUAAGAUAUUCAUGAAGAUUAGGAAAUAUAAUCUGGACGUGAGGAGAAUGUUCCAAAUAAUGAUUACUUGAAUGAAGGAGAAAACUCUACUCUUCUGUAGACAGACCAAAUAGUUCCAGUUGGUACAGGGUUCUGGUGGGUAUUGCCUUUCUCAUUCACAGAGUGCAUGCAGUAUGAUAAGGGGUUCAUUUCAUUUCAAAGAUUUCAGUCAAGAGUUCAGAACAGGAAAUCCGAAUCCUUGCAUGCUAGGUUUUGAAGUACUACAUCAUUCAAAAAUUUCUUUUUAGUUUAAAAAAGAUAGCUUAUUACGUUGGCUGAGCCCCUGAAGCCAAUUAAAACAUAAGAUAUAGAGUAAGGUGCCUCUUGAGCUAUAAAUUAAAAAAAUGCUAUUGUAAUGACUAUGUCCUCAUAAAAUAUUUUACUUAGAUCUAAGAACUUCUGGUCUAGAAUCCCGGUUAUUAUAAUCCACUAUUCAGUAAGUAAUAUCUGAAAAUCCUGACGUUUUUCCUAUGUUUUUGCCACACCGCUGACUAUUUUCCAUGCUCUUACAAGAACACACACUUUGUAUGCCCCAACCGGAGAGCUAUUUUUCCAAUGCAUGAAUGCAACACUAUCCAAAAUGAAGAUCUUGCAAAGAGUAGCAUGGUAAGGCAAAGUAAUUAUUUUUCACCCUUGUGUUCCUUUACAGAAGAGUUACUUUGUAAGUGUGGCAUAGCCUUCGGCUUCAACUAUUGGCUUAAGCUAUGUGAAUCCUUCUCCCUUCUUUAUGAAUCUCUUUAUAUCAGAUGGUUAACAACCAGAUCAGUUAUUUGGAAAUGAUCUUUCAAAGUUAUUCAUAUCCUGUUAUAUUUGAUGUUCCCCUCCCCCACUCUCCCUUUAUCUCUCAGCCUUCACUGCCUUGUCUGAACUUUAUUCUGGACUGUCAAGAUUCUGCCUGCUCCCCUCAACAUUGUAAUGAGUUCCUGUUGAUCUUUUGAACCUGCCCAGAUUUGCAUGCAUCUAACUUUAUACAUAUAGUCUUUCCGUCCUUCAACCCAUUCAACAUUUCUCCUGUAAACUACUAAUAAUCAUUUCUUUUUAGGAGUUUGUGUGGGGUCCUUGCAAUUUGUUUUGAACACUUAUUAUUAAUUGUUGUUUGGAAAAUAAUUCUCCUGAUAUUGCAUAUUGUUGUAAAUAGUGAUAUUAUCUGCCUAAAAGCAAUAUUGUUGUAAUAGUGAUAUUAUCUGUCUAACUAACUUUUAGCCUACCUAAGAGAAGUUCUAUUCACGCUAGUUAAGUUACAACUUAGGGAUUUCUAGCUUUUUGUCUCGUCUCAUAUGGUUGAACUUGAGACACAUAUACACACACUUUACACAUGUUUACACACUUCUCAUGUGAGCUCACAGGUGUUGCACAAGUUUUGAAGGGGUAGUCAGAGUUUCAUGCCUACCUUCUUUCCUCCUCAUCCUUGUUUUGAAGGGGUAGUCAGAGUUUCACGCUUACCUUCUUUCCUCCUCAUCCUUGCCAAUAUAUGCAAGGAUUUCAUUGUAAAUUUUCACACUUACUUUUUAUGAUAGACAUUCUAUUGUGCUUAUUUCAUUUCACUAGUGGAAGGUCUUUUUGUUGCAUUCAGAUCUUGGCUUCUCUAACACAUAAACUACGCUAUUGGCUAUUACUGUAAAUUCCUUUAUACCUGUACUUGUAUGGUUCUGGCACAUUUACUUGUGCAGGCACUUUCUUCGGUUCUAUUAUUCUAGGGAGACAGUCAUAAUAAGUGAAACAAAACAAAGAUAAACAUAAUACCUGCACAAGAUAAAAAAUUGGGUUGUGAACUUGUUACUGUUAAAGCACAAUCUAUUGCAUUGGGUUCCAUUAAAUGUGUGCGAGGAUGUUUCUAAUUUGCCGUUGUUCCUAAUAGAGGAUCUCAGCUUGAUUUAUCUGGCCAAAUAUUGAAAAUAUGCUCCUUCUGUGUUUGAAAAUAUUUAAAUAAAUGUAUUGUACAGCUUGUCGGAUGAUAAUUUUGUUAUUAGCAAGUGUAUCUUUCUUGCCCAAUUUUCGGAGUGUUGAAAAAUUUAGUUUCUGGCUUUACAACUGUCAACUAUUUGCUUUGGUAAAUGACAAGGCUUCGAAACAUUUGGACACACUGGGAAUAACUGUUGUUAAAGCUUGCUCUGUUUAAUAUUCUUAGUUCUAUUUACCUCGAAACCUUAAAGGUGCUUUCAACAGAUACGCUUAAACCAAAUUCCUCUCAUCUCGCCAUAUCACAUCUCAUUGAAGUAUAUUUUUAGAUACUUCUUAUAGCUACCAUAUGCUUCCAGCAAUUCCAGCGUCUGGCAAAUUCCACUUCUAACUUUUUAAAAAUAAAAUUUAACUUCUAUACCUUCUUCCUAAGAUUGCAUUCUGGGGCUUGUUGGUAGGUAGUACAGGAGGUUAAUGAUUUUGGAGUUACAAUUGCAAUAAUUUUUUCUGAUAAAGAUCUAAACUUUUUUAAUAGGCCUCUUCUCAUAUGUUGUACUAGGAUCACUGUCUACGAGAUCGCUGUCCAUGAAAUCACUGUCCAUCAGAUCACAUUUCAUAGAGAUUUGUCAUUAAACAGUUUGACACCAUUUGCAAAUAUGUUCCAAUCAAAGAAAGUCACCGCCAUCAUCUCAUAAACAUGAAUCCCACAAUGAGAAAUUGUAUUUGAAACAUUUUGAUUGUUCAAUUGGUAUGCAAUUGCUUGGAAUUUUAUUAAAUUUUAACUCAUGCUAUGCUUAUUGAGACCUGAUAUGCUUGUGUUUAUAAGUUUAUAACUAUGUUACCCAGGCACGCGUCCCCGGUAUUUUUUUCAGUUGUCCCUGUCCCGGGGACAGGGGACUCCUAGGGGACAUCCCCAUAAAUUCUGCAUAUUGAUAGUGAAUUUUGACAAUGAAUUAAUUCCAUAUGCAAUUUGACUUUGACUCUCAAUUUAACAUAAAUUUGGCGUUAGAACUCUGCUAGUUCUUAUAUGUUAAGGUUCUAUAAUGUAUAUGUGCAUGCUUUAUCCAUGUUUUUAUAUGAAUAUUUUAAAUUUACUUAUAUAUUUUAAUUUUCCCUAUUUUUAUAUAGCUGUCCCCUAGCCCCCCACCCUAGCCCCCCAAAAAUUGGCAAAAAAAAAUCUCAGUCCCAGAAACACAUACCCCUGUCCCCUGCCAUCCUCGUCCUGGAAACUUGGGGUAACAUAGGUUUAUAGGUUUAUUUUAUGGACACUCCUAGUAGCCCACAAAGAAAUUACUAUGUAUCUUCUGCAGUUAAUUCUGAAUCUGAUCAAUAAUGUUUUUAAGUGUUUAUUCUUGGAUUCACUAACAAUGCUUGUGUUGCAUGCACAGAAGUAUUGUAACUGUAGAACAGAUAAUGUUUUCUCCUGCAUAAAGCAAUUUCUCCUACAUUAUGCACCAUUCCUACAGGAAACUCUACCGUGGGAAACUCAACAACAUAAGUCUACAUUGUUGCAUGCAAUUUGUUGCUCUGGAAUUGUAAUUUGACUAUUUUUGGACAAUCAAGUUUCUUGAAGAGUGGCACCAAUGUCAUUAAUAUUGUAGUGUUAUUCUAUAUCACAAAAAACUGUCUUUGCAGUGUUUGGCAUAUAUUAGGCUUCUGAAGCUCUUUUUUAAAAUAUACGAUUUUACUUUUUCUUCA